rnacentral:rRNA from 1 species
UGGGGAAUUUUGGACAAUGGGCGAAAGCCUGAUCCAGCAAUGCCGCGUGUGUGAAGAAGGCCUUCGGGUUGUAAAGCACUUUUGUCCGGAAAGAAAUCCUUGGCUCUAAUACAGCCGGGGGAUGACGGUACCGGAAGAAUAAGCACCGGCUAACUACGUGCCAGCAGCCGCGGUAAUACGUAGGGUGCAAGCGUUAAUCGGAAUUACUGGGCGUAAAGCGUGCGCAGGCGGUUUGCUAAGACCGAUGUGAAAUCCCCGGGCUCAACCCGGGAACUGCAUUGGUGACUGGCAGGCUAGAGUAUGGCAGAGGGGGGUAGAAUUCCACGUGUAGCAGUGAAAGUGCGUAGAGAUGUGGAGGAACACCGAUGGCGAAGGCAGCCCCCUGGGCCAAUACUGACGCUCAUGCACGAAAGCGUGGGGAGCAAACAGGAUUAGAUACCCUGGUAGUCCACGCCCUAAACGAUGUCAACUGGUUGUCGGGCCUUCAUUGGCUUGGUAACGUAGCUAACGCGUGAAGUUGACCGCCUGGGGAGUACGGUCGCAGAUUAAAACUUAAAGGAAUUGACGGGGUCAUAGCUGUUUCCU